rnacentral:rRNA from 1 species
UAAUACGUAGGGGGCGAGAGUUGUCCGGAUUUACUGGGUGUAAAGGGUGCUCAGGCGGAUUUACAAGUCAGAGGUGAAAUACCGGGGCUCAACUCCGGCACUGCCUUUGAUACUGUAAGUCUAGAGUUUGAAAGAGGGUAAUGGAAUAUCUGGUGUAGCAGUGAAAUGCGUAGAUAUCAGAUAGAACACCAAUGGCGAAGGCAGUUACCUGGUUCAACACUGACGCUAAAGCACGAAAGUGUGGGGAGCAAACAGGAUUAGAUACCCUGGUAGUCCACACCCUAAACGAUGAAUACUAGAUGUUGGUCUUUUUAAAGAUCAGUAUCCAAGCUAACGCAUUAAGUAUUCCACCUGGGAAGUACAAUCGCAAGGUUG